AGUGAACGCUGGCGGUAGGCCUAACACAUGCAAGUCGAACGGCAGCACAGUAAGAGCUUGCUCUUACGGGUGGCGAGUGGCGGACGGGUGAGGAAUACAUCGGAAUCUACUUUUUCGUGGGGGAUAACGAAGGGAAACUUACGCUAAUACCGCAUACGACCUACGGGUGAAAACAGGGGAUCUUCUGACCUUGCUCGAUUAGAUGAGCCGAUGUCGGAUUAGCUAGUUGGCGGGGUAAAGGCCCACCAAGGCGACGAUCCGUAGCUGGUCUGAGAGGAUGAUCAGCCACACUGGAACUGAGACACGGUCCAGACGCCUACGGGAGGCAGCAGUGGGGAAUAUUGGACAAUGGGCGCAAGACUGAUCCAGCCAUACCGCGUGGGUGAAGAAGGCCUUCGGGUUGUAAAGCCCUUUUGUUGGGAAAGAAAAGCAGCAGGUUAAUACCCCGCUGUUCUGACGGUACCCAAAGAAUAAGCACCGGCUAACUUCGUG
rnacentral:rRNA from 1 species